rnacentral:rRNA from 1 species
CCAAGGAGUGCAACAUGCGUGCGAGUCUUUGGGUGGCAAACCCAGCGGCACAAUGAAAGUGAAGGCAGGCGUUGGUCUGCUCAGGCGAGAGUCCUCUUGUGGGGACACAUCGUCAACCGAUCCCAGGUCACGCUGUGGCGGGAUUUGAGUGAGAGCGUGCCUGUUGCGACCCGAAAGAUGGUGAACUAUGCCUGAAUAGGGUGAAGCCAGAGGAAACUCUGGUGGAAGCUCGUAGCGAUUCUGACGUGCAAAUCGUCGUCAAAUUUGGGUAUAGGGGCGAAAGACUAAUCGAACCAUCUAG